UACGAAGGGGGCUAUCGUUGUUCGGAAUUACUGGGCGUAAAGCGGGUGUAGGCGGGUCGCUAAGUUGGGGGUGAAAGCCCGGGGCUCAACCUCGGAACUGCCUUCGAUACUGGUGAUCUGGAGAAUGGGAGAGGUGAGCGGAAUUCCGAGUGUAGAGGUGAAAUUCGUAGAUAUUCGGAGGAACACCAGAGGCGAAGGCGGCUCACUGGACCAUUUCUGACGCUGAGACCCGAAAGCGUGGGGAGCAAACAGG
rnacentral:rRNA from 1 species